rnacentral:rRNA from 1 species
UAUGUAGGCAGCGAGCGUUGUUCGGAGUUACUGGGCGUAAAGGGUGUGUAGGCGGUUGUUUAAGUUUGGUGUGAAAUCUCCCGGCUCAACUGGGAGGGUGCGCCGAAUACUGAAUGACUUCGAGUGCGGGAGAGGAAAGUGGAAUUCCUGGUGUAGCGGUGAAAUGCGUAGAUAUCAUGAGGAACACCGGUGGUGUAGACGGCUUUCUGGACCGUAACUGACGCUGAGACACGAAAGCGUGGGUAGCAAACAGG